AAAUUGAAGAGUUUGAUCAUGGCUCAGAUUGAACGCUGGCGGCAGGCCUAACACAUGCAAGUCGAACGGUAACAGGAAGCAGCUUGCUGCUUUGCUGACGAGUGGCGGACGGGUGAGUAAUGUCUGGGAAACUGCCUGAUGGAGGGGGAUAACUACUGGAAACGGUGGCUAAUACCGCAUAACGUCGCAAGACCAAAGAGGGGGACCUUCGGGCCUCUUGCCAUCAGAUGUGCCCAGAUGGGAUUAGCUGGUUGGUGAGGUAACGGCUCACCAAGGCGACGAUCCCUAGCUGGUCUGAGAGGAUGACCAGCCACACUGGAACUGAGACACGGUCCAGACUCCUACGGGAGGCAGCAGUGGGGAAUAUUGCACAAUGGGCGCAAGCCUGAUGCAGCCAUGCCGCGUGUAUGAAGAAGGCCUUCGGGUUGUAAAGUACUUUCAGCGGGG
rnacentral:rRNA from 1 species